rnacentral:sRNA from 1 species
AAGGACAAGAUCACCCACAUUUAGCUGGGUA